rnacentral:rRNA from 1 species
UGGGGAAUUUUGGACAAUGGGCGAAAGCCUGAUCCAGCAAUGCCGCGUGUGUGAAGAAGGCCUUCGGGUUGUAAAGCACUUUUGUCCGGAAAGAAAUCCUUGGCUCUAAUACAGUCGGGGGAUGACGGUACCGGAAGAAUAAGCACCGGCUAACUACGUGCCAGCAGCCGCGGUAAUACGUAGGGUGCAAGCGUUAAUCGGAAUUACUGGGCGUAAAGCGUGCGCAGGCGGUUUGCUAAGACCGAUGUGAAAUCCCCGGGCUCAACCUGGGAACUGAUUGGUGACUGGCAGGCUAGAGUAUGGCAGAGGGGGGUAGAAUUCCACGUGUAGCAGUGAAAUGCGUAGAGAUGUGGAGGAAUACCGAUGGCGAAGGCAGCCCCC